UACGUAGGGUGCGAGCGUUAAUCGGAAUUACUGGGCGUAAAGCGUGCGCAGGCGGUUUUGUAAGACAGAUGUGAAAUCCCCGGGCUUAACCUGGGAACUGCAUUUGUGACUGCAAGGCUAGAGUGCGGCAGAGGGGGAUGGAAUUCCGCGUGUAGCAGUGAAAUGCGUAGAUAUGCGGAGGAACACCGAUGGCGAAGGCAAUCCCCUGGGCCUGCACUGACGCUCAUGCACGAAAGCGUGGGGAGCAAACAGG
rnacentral:rRNA from 1 species